AAUGAACGCUGGCGGCGCGCCUAAUACAUGCAAGUCGAGCGAGAAGACGUAGCAAUACGUUUGUAAAGCGGCGAACGGGUGAGGAAUACAUGGGUAACCUACCCUCGAGUGGGGAAUAACUAGCCGAAAGGUUAGCUAAUACCGCGUACGCUCCUUGGACUUCGGUUCAGGGAGGAAAGCGAUACCGUGGGUAUCGCGCUCUUGGAUGGGCUCAUGUCCUAUCAGCUUGNGGUGAGGUAACGGCUCACCAAGGCUUCGACGGGUAGCUGGUCUGAGAGGACGAUCAGCCACACUGGCACUGCGACACGGGCCAGACUCCUACGGGAGGCAGCAGUAAGGAAUAUUGCGCAAUGGGCGAAAGCCUGACGCAGCGACGCCGCGUGGGGGAUGAAGGUCUUCGGAUUGUAAACCCCUUUCGGGA
rnacentral:rRNA from 1 species